UACGUAGGGGGCAAGCGUUGUCCGGAUUUAUUGGGCGUAAAGAGCGUGUAGGCGGCCAAGCAGGUCCGCUGUGAAAACUCGAGGCUCAACCUCGAGACGUCGGUGGAAACCGUUUGGCUAGAGUCCGGAAGAGGAGAGUGGAAUUCCCGGUGUAGCGGUGAAAUGCGCAGAUAUCGGGAAGAACACCCGUGGCGAAGGCGGCUCUCUGGGACGGUAUUGACGCUGAGGUGCGAAAGCGUGGGGAGCAAACAGG
rnacentral:rRNA from 1 species